rnacentral:lncRNA from 1 species
AGGGUGUGAAAGAAAGCGUCCUUGAAUGUUGUAGUAGGAGAUAGACAACUUGUAGAGUUAUAACUAUAGUUGUCAUGGAAAUCAUUUCCAUAAUUACGAUAACAAAAACUUUGAAUGUUGUCAUAUUUGGAGAUAGACGGGAGAACAAGAGAACAAGAUUUGAAAAAAAAUGAGACAAAAGGAAAUCUCAAAAAACAAAUUUGAUUUUUCAGAGGAAACAAAAUUUGUAGGACCCUUGAUGAACACAACCUAGCCACUGAAGAAGAUGAUUUUUGUACUUCCUCCCUCGUCAAAUCAAUUUUCUUCAUAAACAACCUAACCAAUGAAGAGGAAACAAAUUUGUAUUUUC